rnacentral:rRNA from 1 species
GAUGAACGCUAGCUACAGGCUUAACACAUGCAAGUCGAGGGGAAACGGCAUCGAAAGCUUGCUUUUGAUGGGCGUCGACCGGCGCACGGGUGAGUAACGCGUAUCCAACCUGCCCAUCACUUGGGAAUAACCUUGCGAAAGUAAGACUAAUGCCCAAUGACAUCCCACGAAGGCAUCCGAAUGGGAUUAAAGAUUUAUCGGUGAUGGAUGGGGAUGCGUCUGAUUAGCUUGUUGGCGGGGUGACGGCCCACCAAGGCAACGAUCAGUAGGGGUUCUGAGAGGAAGGUCCCCCACAUUGGAACUGAGACACGGUCCAAACUCAUACGGGAGGCAGCAGUGAGGAAUAUUGGUCAAUGGGCGAGAGCCUGAACCAGCCAAGUAGCGUGCAGGAUGACGGCCCUAUGGGUUGUAAACUGCUUUUAUAAGGGAAUAAAGUGGGUCACGUGUGACUUUUUGCAUGUACCUUAUGAAUAAGGACCGGCUAAUUCCGUG